GACGGAGGGCGCGAACGUUGUUCGGAAUCACUGGGCGUAAAGGGCGCGUAGGCGGACCGCUAAGUCAGACGUGAAAUCCCGGGGCUCAACUCCGGGUCUGCGUUUGAAACUGGCGGUCUAGAGUGCAGGAGAGGAAGGCGGAAUUCCAGGUGUAGCGGUGGAAUGCGUAGAUAUCUGGAAGAACACCAGUGGCGAAGGCGGCCUUCUGGACUGACACUGACGCUGAGGCGCGAAAGCUAGGGGAGCAAACAGG
rnacentral:rRNA from 1 species